rnacentral:lncRNA from 1 species
UAACCCAUCCUUAAACCCAAAACCUAAAAUUAACCUAGCUCAACAUCCAAGCCCAAUCCCAAAACCUUAAACUCCCACUUGCCUCUUCCCACUCUCCCAUGCUGUCUGCCACCAGCACCACUCCCACUCUUCCAUGUUGUCUGCCACCAGCACCAUCACACACCCCACCGUCCAUGCCCAUGCCCUGCAAACAAGCAAAACAGAAGCAAGAAUAGAAAAUAAUAAUAAAGUAUGUAAAAAUUAGGCCAUAUAAAAGCCACCCAAACAACAAACGAAAAGGGGGGGAGGAUGUACAAAAAGUUUGUAUCAAAAACAAAAGAAAAAAGAAAAGCUUAGAAGGUGAACUUCAAUUUUUUUCCUCUGUUAUCUCAAUCUUUCUGUUUAUCUUUGCUUUGUUUUUUUUUAUUAACUUACUUUAAAACGAAAAAGAAUCAAGGAAGAAAAGAGUCUUACCGGAUCUACCCCGUGG